AGCUCGGUGGUCUAGUGGUUAAGACAUCAGGCUAGAUACCUGGAGGUCGUGGGUUCGAUUCCCACCUGAAUCA
rnacentral:tRNA from 1 species